rfam:Trichobilharzia regenti genome assembly, scaffold: TRE_scaffold0037209
AUCCAGAUGACGAGUCCCAAAUAGGGGGAAAUGCGCAUCCUGGAU